CAUAUCUGAGGGCAUCACACCAACCUUUUUGACGGGACUUGUUGCUGUCUUUGCGAUCUAAUAUAUAUUCAACCUGCAGUAUCAGGAAGAGGCAGCCUGUACUCUGGAAUUCAUUCAGAGGCGCUUCAUUGGUAUCAACCCAGAGAGAGGAACAAAGGCCGUCCGGGGCAAGGUUGUCUCCAAGAAGAUGGCUGUGAUCGUCCAGAAGAAGUCUGCCACAGUCAACACACACGUCUCCACACCACUGAAGAACCUCCUUGACUUUGAAUGGGACUUCAUAUAGUGGCAACACUGGUAAGGAGAGGAACAAGGACCAGCAAGGUGUUGGUCAUCCCUAUCUGAAACAGAAGAUUCCUCUUUGUAUCAGAACUGUCCACACCCACCCAGAAUCUUCUUGAAGUUAAGCAUACACCUAUCUCA